rnacentral:rRNA from 1 species
UACGUAGGGUGCGAGCGUUGUCCGGAAUUACUGGGCGUAAAGAGCUCGUAGGUGGUUUGUCGCGUUGUCCGUGAAAACUCACAACUCAAUUGUGGGCGUGCGGGCGAUACGGGCAGACUGGAGUACUGCAGGGGAGACUGGAAUUCCUGGUGUAGCGGUGGAAUGCGCAGAUAUCAGGAGGAACACCAGUGGCGAAGGCGGCUCACUGGACCGGAACUGACGCUGAGGCGCGAAAGCGUGGGGAGCAAACGGG